rnacentral:rRNA from 1 species
AACGAACGCUGGCGGCAGGCUUAACACAUGCAAGUCGAGCGCCCCGCAAGGGGAGCGGCAGACGGGUGAGUAACGCGUGGGAAUCUACCCAUCUCUACGGAAUAACGCAUGGAAACGUGUGCUAAUACCGUAUACGUCCUUCGGGAGAAAGAUUUAUCGGAGAUGGAUGAGCCCGCGUUGGAUUAGCUAGUUGGUGGGGUAAAGGCCUACCAAGGCGACGAUCCAUAGCUGGUCUGAGAGGAUGAUCAGCCACACUGGGACUGAGACACGGCCCAGACUCCUACGGGAGGGAGCAGUGGGGAAUAUGGGACAAUGGGCGCAACCCUGAUCCGGCCUUGCCGCGUGAGUGAUAAAGGCCGUAGAGUUGUAAAGCUCUUUCACCGGUGAAAAUAAUGACGGUACCCGGAGAAGAAGCCCCGGCUAACUUCGUGCCAGCCGCCGCCGUAAUAC